rnacentral:lncRNA from 1 species
UCAUUUCCCUUGUGUAGGAACUAAGCAGAAGUAGCAGUACUUAUGCUUAAUGUUUUGAAGAGACUUGGACUCAGUUUUCUUACCUGUAAGUAGGUCAAUAAGUAUAUUAAAGGCUCCUGACUGAAAUGGUUUAUUAUUGCUCUUUCAAUUUGAAUGAAGGCAAGAGGUCAAAAAGUGGAUUCUCGCUGGGGAUGCCUGCCUACCCGAGGCCUUCCAAGGUUUCUCUGCCGCACUGCAAGGUGAGAGGACAUCAACUUGGAGGUGCAUCUCCUCAGGCUCUGGAAACACAUAUCUCCUGCUGCCGGAGCACUGCAUGUCCAUGUACAGCUUCUGGAGGACUCUGCUAAGCUUACUUUCAUGUUGGAGCUCUGUUUGACAAAGAGGAGAAAAAGUCCCUGAAGACUGCAAGCCCUGGUUGCUGCAGCAGCCUCUGCUUCCUUCAGAAGGCUGCCUCUGCCCUACCUGGGGAAGCGCUCCUGCUGUCUGAGGUGCCGGAUGCGGGUGGAGAUGGGGUAAGCACAAGUAAAUCUGUAGUGAGCUUUGGAAAAUUUAUAGUUGAGCUAAUUUGGGCCAAGUUUAGUAGCUCGAUUUCUGAGUUUUAUUUAUUUGUUCAUGUAAAUUCUACUUGCAGCUACCUUUCUGCUCAAACCUUUGAAGUGUCAGGCAUUUCAAUCCCUCUGCUGCUGGAGAAAAUGCAAGAUAUUGGUUAUGUGUACUGGAUGGUGAAUGUUGGUGACAAAUCUGCAUUGGUGAAUGGUUUUGGUUUGCUGUCAUGCUGGGUGCCAUAUAAACGUUCCUUUGGGAACUGACACAGGCUCCCUGUGUAGCUGAGAUACCUUAUUUGCCCCUAUUGACGUUCUCUCUUCACAAAUGCUGUGAUGGUGGCAUAGCCUGAAGUUUGCCUGUUUUCUCAGCUCCUAAAAACUCCUCACUGUGGGGCUGCUUCCCUGCAGUCUGCCAGCACAGUUCUAGAAGAUGUCGUGCCUUGUGUGCCCCAUUCCCUGAUGCAGGCAGAGCUCUGCAGCCAGAACAGUGCCUCAUAGUGAUGCAGGGUGGCAGAGGGGAUUGGCUGAGGCCUGUACAUGGUGUGGUUGCAACUGCACAGGGAGGCUUUAGGCAUGAAGGAGUGCACAGGGUAACCACAGAUCAGGUCUGCAUGGUGCGUAUGUUCGUCAGAGGGCUGCCUCUUUGUCAAAACUUUUUUGGACAGAGGAAGGUAAAGUGGUGCUAAAUGUUCUGACCAUUUGUUUAAAAGCAUUUUGAAUUGCAGGGCUCAAGCGUUCUGGUAGAAUAUUUUUCAGUAAAUCUUGAAUAUGGCAGUUACAUUUUCUAUACCAUGUGGGAAAAAGGAUUGCAGUAUUUACUGCAGAGACAGGAAGAUUGAUUCUCACUUGGAAAAUCUGCCAGAUUUCUUGAUUUAGAGAACCGAUGAUUGGUGGAGUUCUUAGACUUGAUUUAUAUCAUGUUUCUUUUUUUCUUUUCCUUGCUUGUUCUUAUGAUAACAUCGACUAGUCUUAUUCUGAAUGAUUUUUUUUGUUUAAUGAAUAUUGUUUUCUUUGGAUACUGAAGUCAAAACUCUGUUCUCUAAUACCUGCUUGUUUGCAGUAAUGUGACUCAAUUUCACUUGCAUGAAGUCUAAACAAAGUUGCUAUGCUUUACAGAGAGACGACCCCCACUUUUCUGUGCUGAAAACAGGCACACUAUUUAAAAAAAACAACAAUCCCUCCCAAGGACAUAACCUGAAACCUUUACAAUCAUGUAAGCAAUCUAAGCUCCUCAGUACAUUUCUUCCAGAGCACUUCAGACCUGCUCCUAAAUUUGCAGAUAAUGUGCCACAAGGGAAGGCAAGUCGCCCCAGCAUGGGCUGGGGUCCCCACGAUGGGCUGCCCUGUGGCUGUGCUGCUCUGUGCCCUGCAGCAGGAGGUCCUAUGCAGGCUGAAAGUGUGUGGCAGCUGUAGUCAGCUCUGUGGGCCGUCAGUCCGGCUCAGGAGCUCCAAGUUUGUCUGGGUGACUUAAAGUGGUGGAAAGUGAGCGCAGAAAUGAAGUCAUUAGAGAUUAAGAAUAUUAAAAGAAUAAUUGAUACCCUGACCUUAUUGCUACAGCAAGCCUCUUAGAUCACCAAAGUAAUACAUGACACUUCUAUAUUAUAGCUGGUUCUGUAUAAUUAAUUAUAUGAGAAACUUCCUUUUUGGCGCCCUGCUUUCUGCCCUUUUGAGCCAGGCUCUCAGUGCCUGUAAAUAGCUUAAGCCGAUGUGAAGCUUUUUCUCCAAAAAUCCUUGCUCACCAGGCUCUUCUGUCUUAUUCUUAUGUCUUCCCUUAUUAAUUAAUGUUAAGAAAAAAGCUUUUAAAGAAGAUUUGUUACUUCCAAAAAUUAAUGUACCAGCUCCUGUUCCUGUUUUCUGGGAGUUUGAGCGAAGUGCCUUACAGUGUCUGAUAAUCUGCUUGAAGAUGGACACGCAACUUUGAAUUGCUAAAAUUGAUCUUCCAGCAUUAGAAAUGCCCAUAAAAAUUCACACUUGUCUUCAUAUUUUGAAGGGGAGUUUUGUUUUGUGUUCUGCUGUUCAAAUAUCAUGUAGCUGAGUAGCAGCAGUCAAAGUGAGAAAUAAAUGAAUGUGCAUAAUUUUGAUCUAAUUACAUUGGUAUUGAAUUGCAGGUGAAGCAUUAAAUUGAUUUGGAAAAAAAAAAUCUUUGCAAGUAUCUAGUAUUGAUGGAAAGGACGUUAUGAAUUUGUAGUGAAGUCUGCUUCUGUGCAGUGGAGUCAGAUGAAGACAAAUGCAGUAGUUGUGCUUCCAGGGUCUGAGUGAAACUGUAUGUCAGCAUAACGCUGAACCACACAGGCAUGAGUUCAGCCUAACUUCAUGUUGCUUUCAGCUAACAAGAAGGCUUUUAGAUUUGUCUCUUAUUAAAUCUUUAGUGCUCUUUUAACAAUAAAUUAAUAUAUAAUUAACACAGACACUUUCUCAAUCCAUAUUAGAGAGCUUACUCGAGACAACUGAAAUUUUAAUUGCAGAUGUUACUGAGGGCCUCUCCCUGCAGCAGUAAUUGCAAUUGCUUACUCACUAAAUGCAUCAGAACUGGAAAGGGUAAAACCCGCUGGGCAUUGGUGUCCAACCUAUUGGUGUGUCUGGGUGCACUGGGAGGAAUUGUCUUGGGCUGCAUAAAUGUAGGUCGCUCCAAAAGUAAUGCCUCCUAUUUAUUCUCAUGGAAGCAACAAUAGCUACAAAGAGCAAAGUAAUACUGUUUGAUGGAGCAAAUUCCUGGCUACAAAACACUAUUUUUCCACGUAAUCACCACUAUAACUUAUGCAUUUCUGCCAGCAGUGAACAAGAGUCUGCAUGCUGCACUUGUAAAAGUCUGUACCAGCAGAAGUGACCACUGUUGCUGUUGUUACUGCUGAAACGUACCAUCUGCAGCCUCAUUGUGCUGACAGCCACUGGUUGGUUCUACAAACAUUCAGUAAGAGCUGAUGUAUGUCAGUGGGUGCAUGGAGGAAUUCAGUUCCACAUCUUUGCUCCAUGUGCACUUCAUGUCAGACGCCACUGUGUCAGACAGCCCCUCUGCUGCCGUCUGUCGCACGGCAACAAAAUGUAACGGGAUAUCGGUGGGAAGGUUCAGCUCUGCUUCCAUCACACUGACAUCCACCUCUGAUGUCAUGGGCCAACAUCAUAAAUUAGGAGGCAUUAUUUUUGGAGCAGCCCUCAGUAAAUAUAUAAUAUAGUUAAUGUGUAUAAGGAAACAAAGCUUGUUUUAAAUUUUAAUGGUUUUGAUUGAAACAUAUACAAAAGAGAGCAAGAAAAACCUAAAACUAGUGGGGUACAUGACCUCGCUUUUGUGAAACAAAUGAAUCGGUCUGCUUGCAAUUGUUAGUGAGCGGGUUGGAUGUGCCGGCCAUCAGCUGCUGCUUGCCUGGCAUCUCUCUCACCCUGAAACCAAACCAGUAGUUCGUACUGAAUCAUUUCCCUUCUGAGUACCAGUUGUGUUACUGAUGUAUCAAGUACUUUGCAUGUGGCUUCCUCAUCUGCAGGAAUGGCUCUGGGUGGGCAGUGCCUGUGGGGCUGGCACCAGGGAGCACCAUAGACAUUCCCAGAAAGCUGUAUUUGCCCUGAGUCCUGGCGGCCACAUCACUCCUCUCCAUUGCUAAUGAGGACAGACUUGCUCCUUUUGCUGGCCUGAGUGGCAGCUCUCACUUUUCCUGAUUUAGUUCUCUACUGGUGUCUCAAUACCAGGGAUCUUGGCGGUGUCUUUGCUCUGAGCGGUUUGCUUUUAACUCUUCUUUGUUGUAUCUAAACCUGCCUCUCUCCAUCUUCAUUACUUUGACAGGAAUGCUGAAUUAGUUGACCUUGUGCUGGCUGGUUGUUUUUUUUUAUAUUAUUUUUUAAUAAAAAAAAGCAAACAAACAAACAGACAAAAAAAAAAAAAAA